GACCUUUGGAAUUGAAGAGUUUGAGAAGCUGAUCAACGGUGGAGUUUGCUUGCGGCAGAUUGGAACCUACUCUGGCCGCCAUUGAUAUCUUCCCGUCCCAUCGUCCCUUUUUCACCUGAAAAAUGACCAGAUUUCUUUGACUCAAGAGAAGGGUUCUAACCAAAUGGACAAAAUCUCGGGCUGCAAUUGCGAGGAUGUCAGCACAAGACACAACGCCAGGGCACUUGCUCUCAACCAACGCCUUGGCCUUCUUGAUGCUUUCAAACCCCUCCGGUCUCAGCCCCUUGUUGUCCGCUGCAUCCUUCUCCGCUGCCACUUUGCUGCCAGGCUUCGUCGAUAUCAGAAUCGACCCAUCACAGCCCUGCCAUUUUCAAGAGCUUCUCAACAAUUUUUAUAAUAACUAGUUUGGUAUAAAAUUUGGCAGCCACUGAAAACAAUGAAAUAAAUUGAAGCCUUAUAAAAGCUGAUAGAGAGAGAGCGUGGUGGACAGAAGGGCGUGUAAUAAGCCAAGCUAAGCAUGAGUAAUGAACUUCAUAAAUGCAAGGCAUGUGCUACCACAGGUACUCUCUAAUUGUAGCGCAGGGCAAAAUUAGCUGCAGGAUGAUUGUACUAACCUGCUGCCGGUGACUUUCUCAGGGCUCCGUAGGAGAAGAAAGAAGGUAUGGGGAAAUUUCUAAUGAAGCGAAAGUCCCUCUUUCUUUAUAGUGUUGUCUGUCCCCUUCGUCCAUUUAGGUUCUCCAUAUCUUGGUAUAACUAUAACGACUCAAACCUACUGUUAGCAGAUAUUGUCCUUUUGGGGCUUUCCCUUUCGAGCUUCCCCUCAAGGCUUUAAAACGUGUCUUCUAGAGGAAGAUUUCCACACCCUUGUAAAUGAGGUUGUGUUCUUCUCCCCAACCAAUGUGGGACAUUACAAUAACUAUCCCAACAAAGUAAUCUUAUGUAGUAUCAGCAAGAGCCCUUUAACCCGACUUCUACACUAGAACAAACAAAUAGUGUCUCUCUUUUUGAGAGACACCGUAAAAAAGCAAAAGCCAAUAAUAGAGAACCUUCAAUGAGAUUAGUUAGACAUUAAUUAUCAUUUCAAGAAUCGAUAGUCCAAUAUUACGAUGAUUUAAGGAGAAAAUGAUUUGAAUAGUGAAAUUGUAGCCUUUGUGAGUGGCAGACAUAUUCAGCAAGUGGCAACAGAAUUGAGGACAAAAUGUGAAACAAAGAAUCUAGUUCUUGCAGAAGGGAUAAACCCAACAUUUGCAUAUUUCACAAAAGGAUUUAGUCACAUUAUACUAUGAUUAUUCAUUAAAUUCUGCUGUUAUGUUUUUUGUCAGUCUGUGUGUUUUUAGUCUGCAGUCAUUCCACUGAAAACCGUUUUGAGUACUUUGAUGCUUCAAAGGUCAGAAUUGCUUAGUUUCAAAGAUUUAAAGUUUGGAAGAACAUGGUGAAGAGUGGCACAGCCGUUCAUGAGAUUCCCCACCCCAAUUAAAAUAUAUCCCAUCAAAGUUAGAGGACUCUGCUUCAUUUCUAUGUAAAGCUACAAAGUAAAAAGUUUGUAGGGUUGUUUCUUGAGGAUAAUAAUUAAUAGAUGUAAUUAGCGAGAUGGGCUCCACGUUUAUUUUAA